rnacentral:rRNA from 1 species
UACGUAGGUCCCGAGCGUUGUCCGGAUUUAUUGGGCGUAAAGCGAGCGCAGGUGGUUUAUUAAGUCUGGUGUAAAAGGCAGUGGCUCAACCAUUGUAUGCAUUGGAAACUGGUAGACUUGAGUGCAGGAGAGGAGAGUGGAAUUCCAUGUGUAGCGGUGAAAUGCGUAGAUAUAUGGAGGAACACCGGUGGCGAAAGCGGCUCUCUGGCCUGUAACUGACACUGAGGCUCGAAAGCGUGGAGAGCAAACAGG